rnacentral:rRNA from 1 species
GUCGUGAGAUGUUGGGUUAAGUCCCGCAACGAGCGCAACCCUUGUGAUCAGUUACUAACGGGUAAAGCCGAGGACUCUGAUAAGACUGCCGGGGACAACUCGGAGGAAGGUGGGGACGACGUCAAAUCAUCAUGCCCCUUAUGACCUGGGCUACACACGUGCUACAAUGGCCACUACAGAGAGAAGCGAAUUCGAGAGGAAGAGCGGAUCUCAGAAAAGUGGUCCCAGUUCGGAUUGUGGGCUGCAACCCGCCCACAUGAAGUCGGAGUUGCUA